rnacentral:rRNA from 1 species
CUUUGGGUCAAGGCUUUCCACUUAGGGGGAGUCCGUCGUUCCAAGGAUGAUGGUAGAGCCUGGGUACUGCUCAGUGCUAGUGAUCAUCGAUAUCUUUGGGGCCUCCGGUAAUCAAUCCCGGUUUAUCACUAAAGCUGAGCUCAAGUAAGACUACCCGCUGAAUUUAAGCAUAUUAUUAAGCGGAGGAAAAGAAAAUAACUAUGAUUCCCUCAGUAGUGGCGAAUGAACAGGGAUCAGUUCAAGCCUUUAAUCCUGUCGCCUCGGCGACUAGGAGAUGUGGUCUAUUUUGGUUACCUUUCACCAUCACCUUGUCUAAAUCUUUUUGAGAUUUAGUGUCAUAGAGGGUAAUAACCCCGUCAGGCAAGGUAGUGUGUGUCUCCGGGUGCCAAAACGCGAGUCGUGUUGCUUGGGACUGCAGCACAAAAGGGAGGUAAUAUCCUUCUAAAACUAAAUAUUUCGUGGAGACCGAUAGCGAACAAGUACCGUGAGGGAAACGUGAAAAGAACUUUGAAAAGACAGUGAAAAGUACGUGAAAUCGUUAG